AAAAUUGCCUAGCACGGGAGAUACCAUGAUCCAUUGCACUCUGGAUGUGCUGGCCCCUGUGAUUUCUCCCGAUGUGGGAAACUGGACUGCAAAAUUUGUGGUAGAGGGGAACUGCGUUUGAGCUUUCCCUUG
rnacentral:snRNA from 1 species